UUGGAGGGCAAGUCUGGUGCCAGCAGCCGCGGUAAUUCCAGCUCCAAUAGCGUAUAUUAAAGUUGUUGCAGUUAAAAAGCUCGUAGUUGAAUUUCGGGAUCAGUAUGUUGGUCGUGCCUCUGGUAUGUACUGGUCUCACUGAUUCCUCCUUCCUGAUGAACCUUAAUGCCAUUAAUUUGGUGUUUUGGGAAAUUUGGACUGUUACUUUGAAAAAAUUAAAGUGUUUAAAGCAAGCUAACGCUUGAAUACAUUAGCAUGGAAUAAUGAAACAGGACGUUCGAUCUUAUUUUGUUGGUUUCUAGGACCGCCGUAAUGAUUAAUAGGGACAGUCGGGGGCAUCAGUAUUCAAUUGUCAGAGGUGAAAUUCUUGGAUUUAUUGAAGACUAACUACUGCGAAAGCAUUUGCCAAGGAUGUUUUCAUUAAUCAGUGAACGAAAGUUAGGGGAUCGAAGACGAUCAGAUACCGUCGUAGUCUUAACCAUAAACUAUGCCGACUAGGGAUCGGGCGGUGUUUCUAUUGUGACCCGCUCGGCGCCUUACGGGAAACCAAAGUGUUUGGGUU
rnacentral:rRNA from 1 species